UUACACUUGAAUACUUAUUCAAGUCGCAUUCAAACCCCUCCACAAUUGGUGGCUUUAUAAAUUUACCCCAAGCCUAAAUUAGCAAAGUUGAAACUAUCAACCUUGCCACAUGUAUGGCCGGCCAAGGGAGGGCUCUUUGGUUGAUAAUUUUAGCUCUUUUUAACAGCCCUCUUUAGCUAUAAAAAUCUCAUUAGGCUGGUCAUUUGAAAAACACACCUCAAGCAUUCACAUAUUUCCUUUCUUUUCUCCACUUUCUCUUCUUUUCCAUUCCAAAAUUCCCUUGCUCUCUUGGCGAUUUCUCCUAUUGAGAAAGGGGCAUUCAUUAGCUAUUUGGAGCAACAAUUAAGUGUUCAUAGAAGCCUUGGUCGACGAGGACAACGGAGAAGGACGGAGCAACUAGUUAAGCCACGAAAAAACACUGGAUUUGAUUCUUUUUCCCUAUCUCUUUAAUUUUUGUUGUUGUUAUGCUAAGCAUAUCUAUAAAUAUUUAUGUUGUUGGAAUGGUUAAUUUAAUCAAUUUAGCUUGAAUUUAAUUCGUGUUACGUUGAUUGCAUUUUGUUUGUUAAAAUUAUUGAGAUUUUGUUUAUGUUGUUAUAGGCCUCUAUAAGAUGCUUGAUUAAGUAAAAUCAUGACUAAGUUAUUCUUGCAUGACAAUUGUUAGGUAACUAAAUGAAUUAAUUAUUUAAACGGAUUAAAAUUGUAAUUAAUGGACAUAGUACUUAUUCAAUGCAUGUUUAAUCAUCUAAGGUAGCUGAGAGUUAAAUUAGCAACGGUAUCUGACGAUACAUUUGCCUUGCAUAGCUUGCAAGAUUAUUGUGAUUAAAUUUUUUCAUGGUAAGGAUACUUUGUUACCUCACAUAGUCUUUUAUGUGCUUAUGUACAAGAGAUUAUUUCGAUUUAAUAAGUAUGUAUGUGCAAUAAUAUAUUUUCCUAUUAAGAUUUGUUUAAUCGGUUGAAUUGACAUAGGGAUAUAGUUAAAAGAUAAAUGGAUUUUGAUAGGUGAGUAUGUUCAUAAGUUACCAAAUUACUGAAUUGCCGUGAACUUAUUUGUAACAAUAUAAACAAGAAUUUAAUAAAUUCUAAGUUAAGAAAUGUAAUUAAUCUAACACAAUUAUGUUAUCUUGAUUAAAAUCGUAGUUUGAAAUCGUGCAUUUGAGAUUUAUUUAUUUAGUUCACUUAGUUUAAAAUAUUAGUUUUUAGUCACCCUCUUCAAAUAAAAUAUUUUUCUUUACCAAAGUAUUUUAAAUAGUAUUCAUAAAUAAUUCUUUUCAGUCCCUGUGGGUACGAUAACUCGACAUUUACUUGUCACUUUAUUACUUGUUGCGAUUGUGUACACUUGCACAUUUCCGUCGUUCCAGGAUGCUUUCUAACUACUAGUGUGGUCCAUUUCCCAACCAUGAGAAAUACAAUGGAAAAUAUCUGGAACCCUUUGAAGGGUGUGCAAUUCUCCAAUUUGGGUGAAAAACGUUUUCUAUUAAAAUUCUAUAACGAAUUGGAUAUUAAUCGGGUAAUUACAGGUGCUCCCUGGACUUUCAAUAAUCACUUGUUGAUUAUCCAUAAGAUUCAAAAGAGUGAAGAUCCGGUGUCUAUUCCAGUAGUGUACUCAGGCUGGUGGGUUCAAAUUCAUGAUUUGCCACCGAGGUUUUUUAGAGAUUCCAUGGCGGUGCAAUUUGGAAAUUUCAUUGGAAAAUAUCUGGAAUAUGAUAUGAAAUAGUUAUCCAACGGCUACAAAAAUUAUCUACACAUCCGAGUCUAGAUUGAUGUCCGAAAGCCUUUGAAAAGAAGAAAGAAAACUAUGAUCUCCGACUCAAACUUUACUUAUGCAAAUUUCAAAUAUGAAAAAUUAACUUUGUUUUGUUUCUUAUGUAGCUGCCUUGGCCAUGGAGAGAAUUUCUGCCCAAUGAGAUUAAAACAUGAGAUGCAAGAAAUGGAAAUGGGUUGGGACUUGUCAUUGCAGGCUCAGCCACAGAAGGCUACUACAAUAAACAUCUAGCUAAGGGAGGAGGGAGAGGAUGAUUUUUUUAGGAAGGCACAUUUUGGGCAGUAACUUGGCCAAAAUUCAAGGCACAAUCAGGGGAGAGAAUCGUGGGCUAAUGUUAAUCCAAUUCUUGGAAUUAAUUUAGAAAGCACCAAAUUACAGAUGAUUUGAUUAGUCAACAAAAGGGGUAGGAAUCAUGCCACAAUGUUGGGAAAGAUUGGGUGGUAAGCAAAAGUCAACAGAUGGGGUUUAAUUCGAAUUAUGAUAAAUUAAAGAAAGACCCGAUUGUGGUAAGCCCUUCUAAUAGGUUGAUUUGACAAUUAUGGAUUGUGACUUAGAAGAUGAUCCAAUUGUUAAUAAGGAAAAAGAGACAUGUUUAAUUAUUUGAUCUCUAAUGUUUCUACUAUUCAAGAUUCAUUAAAGAUUAUUAAUAGGCAUUCAGCUCAUUCUCAACAAAUGUCGAUGGCUGCCAGUGGGUAAGCUGACUGAAAGAAACGAAAAUAUUUUACUAAAAUGUUCAUUGAUUGGGGAGUCUGCGAGUAGUUAGAAGACUUCAGCAUAUGUUGAAAAUUUAUCAUCCCCAAUUUGUCUUAUUUAUGGAGACAAAAUUGAAUACAAACAGAAUGGAGAACAUUAAGAGACAGUGUGGUUUCUUUAACAGUGUUGACGUUCCUGCUGAUGGUACAUGUGGGGAUUUAAGCAUAGGAUGGAAUGGGGGACAUUUAGUUACUCUUAGAAGCCUCUCAAAAAAUCAUAUUGAUGUUAAAAUUCAAGAAGCAGAGGAAAGUCCACGAUGGAGGUUUACAGGUUUUUAUGGGGCAUCGGAUGUAAGGGAUAAAUCAACGACGUAGGACUUACUUUGACAUUUGGGGAGAAAUAAUACGCUACCAUGGUUGAUUAGUGGUGACUUCAAUGAUAUUCUCUUUGCGCAUGAAAAACAAGGAGGGUUGUUAAGGGAGGAGGCUAGAAUGGAGGUAUUUUGUAGAACUUUGGAUGAAUGUCAAUUGGGAGACAUUGGAUUUUCUAAGACGUAGUUUACAUAAGAGAGGGGACGCGUAAUGGAAAAAAAAUUAGAGAAAGAAUCGAUAGAGGGGUUACUACUAAUACAUGGUUACAACUUUUCCCAACUUACUCAUUGAGGUACCUACCUCAUUCUUUCUUAGAUCAUUGUCCUUUGCUUAUUAAGACGGAGGCUGAAGAAAUGGGUAAAAGAACUGGAAGGUUUCAUUUUGAAGGUUGGUGGGUUUUAAAAGAGUCAUGUGAGGAAGAGAUAAGAAUAUUGUGGGAAGAAAGCUCAAGUUCUUUUCAAAAUCGCAUUUUAGCUCUCACUAUUGGUUUGCAAAAUUGGGUAGGUAAUAUUAAGCACAAAAGAGGAUGAGAUGUGAAAUGAUUAACAAGGACUUGAAGAGUUAAAUAGUUAUGAUAGAUUGGAAGAGACUUUGGUUGAGCUUGUUGAUAUCAAACUACAUCUAAAUAUGGAGAUGGAUAAAGAGGAGAGGUAUUGGGAACAACGAGCGAGAGUGGAUUGGCUAAAAAAGGGAGUUAAGAACACCUCAUUUUUCCACAAUUAUGCUUCUCAGUGACAACGUAUUUAUCAUAUUCGAGGAUUACAAAAGAAUGAUGGUUCUCUAGCUAUGGGUGGUAUUGAGAUUGGGAAUAUUGCUCGUGACUAUUUUACUGACUUGUUUGCUUCUAGAGGGAUUGGCAAUUUGGAUCAUAUCCUAUCGAGGGUACCUUAUUGUGUUUCAGAAAGUAUGAAUCAAAGUUUGAUGGCUACAUACACAGAGGGAAAAAUUGUUUAGGCGUUGAAAGGAAUGGGUCCUAUAAAAGCUUCAGUUUUAGAUGGAUUUUUGGCAUUAUUUUAUCAAAAGUAUCGGCAUAUUAUCGGUAAAAAUACUAGUGCUUUCUGUUUGGAUAUUCUGAAUAAUGGAAAAUCUUUGGAAGAACUAAACAAAACUCACUUGGUUUUAAUUCCAAAAAUUGCAAAUCCUCUGAAUUUGAAAAGCUUUCUUCCUAUUAGUCUUUGCACGAUUAUCUGUAAAAUUAUUGCCAAGACAAUUGCCAAUUUAAUACAAAAAGUUUUGAAUGUUUUAUUGAUGAUUCUUAGAGCGCUUUUGUACCGGGUAGACUCAUAAUUGACAUGUUACUGGCAUAUGAGGUGCUUCAUUCUUUCAAGAAUAAAAUAUUAAGGCGAAAAGGCUUCAUGGCUCUAAAGCUAGAUAUGAGGAAGGAUUAUGAUCGCGUGGAAUGGCCUUUCCUUAAAGGUAUGAUGUCAAAAAUGGGUUUUGCUUGUCCUUUUAUUGAUUUUAUUCUCCAUUGUCUUAGUACAGUUCAAUAUUCAAUUUUACUAAAUGGAGAAUGAGUAAGUUUGAAACCAUUUAGAGGACUUCGACAAGGGAACCCCUUAAGCCCUUACUUAUUUCUGUUCUGUGGAGAAGGAUUAUCUUCACUAAUGAGAUUAGAUUAGCAAGUCAGGAAAGGAAAAUCUUAGGAGAAAAUGUUUUUAGAUCUGCUCCACCAAUCACCCACCUCAUGUUUGCAAAUGAUUGUAUACUGUUUGGUGAGGUUUUGGAAAGGAGGAUUAAUGUGCUUAAAAAUAUUUUAAGUGAAUAUGAAUCUUGCUGACAAUAUGUGAACUUUGACAAAUCCACAACUUUUUUCAAUACGAAUGUGAAUGAUCAAGGUAAGAACUUGGCUUUCUAGGUACUCAAUGUUCGUUGUUUGAAAGAUCCAGAAAAAUACUUAAGAUUACCGAAUAUGGUGGGUCGAAGAAGGAAAAUGGCAUUCCAAGGUUUGAAAGACAAAUUGAAGCAAAAGAUAAAUAGCUAGAGUAUAAGACAUAUCUCACAAGGUGGAAAAGAGGUAUUUAUCAAAACUAUUUUGCAAGCAAUACCUACACACACGAUGUUUUGCUUUCUUUUGCCAAAAUCUUUUUGUAUGGAAAUGGAGAACAUAAUAGGGUCUUUCUAAUGGGAAAAAAAAAGUCACGGGAAGAGAGCAUGCGCUGGUGUGAUUAGAGGUCUUUGUGUGCGCUUAAGGAAGAGGUUGGUAUGUGAUUUCGUAAUUUGUCUUUUUUAACGUUGUAUUAUUGGCCAAACAUGGUUAUCAUUUGUUACGUGAUCCUAAUUCUUUACUAGCACGAACUUUGAAAGCCAAAUAUUUUAAAGACUCUGAUUUUUUAAAUUCCAGGUUAGGAAAUUUACCUUUUUUUCCCUGGCAGAGAUUAUGGACUGCAAAAGGGCUCCUUCUGAAGGGUUUGGGUUAGAGAAUUAGUGAUGGGAGGAAGGUCUCUAUCUGGGAAGAUGCUUAGGCUCCUGGAAAUGAUGAUUUCAAAGUUCAGUACAUGGAUUCUAAUUUGAAUCUAAGUACAAUUGCAGACUUGAUUGAUGCCAAUACAAGAAAAUGGAAAGUUGAUCUGAUUCGUAAUACCUUUAUGGAGAAGGAUGCGGAGAGGAUUUUAUGCAUUCCUUUGUCCAUGAAUCUGCAUGAAGACCAUAUCAUCUGGCGUGGUGAGCCGACGGAGGAGUAUUCGGUUCGUAGUGGGCGUAAAUUUCUUUUACAAGAUGGACAGAACCAAGGACAAUUAAAUUACAGACAAUUUUACAAGAAAUUGUGGAAUUUAGAUCUACCCCAAAAAAUUAAAAUUACAAACUGGAGGUUUUCCUGUAACUAUUUGCCUACUUUUAGUAAUCUACACUUUAAAAGAAUGAUGGGUUCGGCCACUUGCCAAAGAUGUCAAACUGGAGUAGAAGCGAGGGAACACUUGUUUCGGGAGUGUUCUACAACAAAGGAGACAUAGGAGAAGUUAAGUAUUAGUUGGCCUAUUGCAGAUGCAAAUACUGAAUUCAAAGAAUGGAUGAAAAACAUUUUUGAUUCAAAUUCCAUGGCUAAGUGCAGGUUGAUAGCAUGUGCAAUGUGGGCGAUAUGGACAUCAAGAAACAGAUUUAUUCAUGAAGGAGAGUAGAAAUCAGGUUUUCAAAUAACAGAUUUCAUGAUCAACUACCUUAAGGAACUUGAUGGGUUUAAUACACACUUACCAAGGAGAAGGAUACACACGGACAAAUGGGUAGCUCCAAACGGUUUGAUGGUAAAAAUCAACUUUGAUACUACGUUUAACAAGCAAAGGAAUGAGCCUUGCUCCGGGUUAGUGGUUCGAAACGAAAGAGCAGGAGUUAUUUGUUCAAAAAAGUCAUGCACAAGAACAUAUAGUCUAUUUUUGCAGCAGAAGCGAUGGCGUGUCUCCAGGCAAUCAAUCUAGGGUUAAAUCUCAGAUUAAAGGCGAUUAAAAUUGAAGGAGAUUCUCGUUCGGUGAUUCGUAAACUGCAAGCAAAGGAAGAAGACAGAUCUGAGAUUGAAGUUUAUAUUAAAGACUCUAAGCAACUAAAUUUAGGCUUUGGGUAUUGUGUCUUUCGAUUUACCCAUAAAGAAUCUAACAAGGUUGCCCAUAUCCUAGCUACAGAGGGAAUCAAAAAGAGGGAGACAACUUAUCAGAUGAAUAUGGUUCCUUCUGUUGCGGAGGAAGCGGUGGAUGCCGAUCGAAGAUGGACGAGGUCCAUGAAGGAAAGAAGAGGCAAGAGUGUUCAAAGAGAGACUGAAUAUGGUCUUGAAUAGACAGAUGGAUAGAUGAAUACAGAUAUACAUUGAAGAGAGUUAUUGUUUCUGAUGAAAGAGUAAUGGAGCAUAAUGGUGAAGAUAUUUUUGCGGUUUCCCAAGACUUUUUGUUGCUUUUCAGGAGAGGGGUUGAUUAAUGGAGAACACCUGGGAUAGGAUAUAUCUCUAAAGCUUCCCUGUUUGGCAAACUGGAUCUAAGUUUUUGUUUUUUGGGCUGUUUUAAGUAUUUG
rnacentral:lncRNA from 1 species